UUUGUCGGGCCUGUACAUGAUUUUUACCCAAAACAAAACACUCCGCGUAAUUAUUGAGCCAAACGUGCACCUUCGGGUAAAAAAUUCCUCAAUCUCAGUACAGAUUAGCCGCUCUUGCGACGGCGUAAUGGCACUGUCAAUUUGCCGGUACCGGAGUUACGGUUUUGCGCCGCCGUUAAUUCGGUGCUUCAGGUCACAAGCAGCAUUGAAAGCGUUGGCUAAAGCAUCGGAAGACAAAAUACCAAACCUCAUACUCUACAAUUAUCCUUCAUUCUCCGGAGCUUUUGCUGCGCUUUUCGCACACCUCUUUCACUCUCGUCUCAACCUCCCUUACCUCGUCUUGCCUUUCUCUUCCGUUGAACCCUUCAGAGUUGAAGACUUGUGUAUUGACGGGCUGCAGAAUUGCUACUUUCUUGAUUUUGUUGGUCCUAAAGGAUUUGCAGUGGAGCUUGCUCGUCGGACCUCAUGCCAGAUAGUAGGGUUUGAUCACCGGAAGUCAGCACUUUUGGAGCUCCCUAUGAGUCAAAGUUCUGGUGGGAGUCUCGCAUUUCAUGUCAACCUUGAGAAAUCUAGUUCUAUUGCUGUCUAUGAACAUUUCUCUUCUAGGCUUUCAGAGGUUGGAUCCAAUAAGGAGGGUGAUGCUAUCAGCUUGCUAAACUAUACUUUUCAAGAUCAAGUUAAAAAUGUUCUGAAAUAUAUUGAGAAUGGAGAUCUUCGCAGGUGGAGUUUGCCUGAUAUUACAGCCUUUGGUAUUGGAAUCAGCCAGUGGCGUUCAAAACUGAACUGCAUCACUAAUCCACAUAUGUAUGAACAGCUAAUGGGGAUUACCACUGGCGAUUUAAUUGCUAAUGGUAACUCCCAUAUUUCAAAGAGACUGGCUGCUGCACAGAAGUUGCUGGAUAAGUUUUUCAAAAUUCAGCUGGGGAGAGGACUUUAUGGUGAAUGCUUGGGGAUUAGAGCUGAUGGAAAUUCAGAAUUAAGUGAUGAAAUUGGCAAGGAACUAAGCAAGAAAAGCGCUGCAGCUGGACUCAGGCCUAUAGGAGCAGUCAUAUACCUUCAGCGGAAGAAUCUCAAGAUGUGUCUGAGGACUGUAGAUGCAGCUACUGAUACUUCAGAGGUUGCCAAGGCAUAUGGUGGAGGUGGUUCUCCUAGUUCCAGCUCAUUUAUAAUUCGGAUGGAUGAGUAUAACCAGUGGCUCACAGUGCAUUCAUCUUGAGUGGGGUACAAUAUGAAUUCCCAUCCUCUUCAUAGUUAAGCCAACUUAUACCAAGAUUAUUACCAAGAUUAUACCAGAAACAGUAAAGCGAAUCUACCUGAACCAAGAACAUUGAUCGAGGUGGGAUCUUCAUGUAGUGGCCGAGUUUGAAGUCGCUGAGGAAAGAGACAGCCUGUGACAUACUCAUGUACCCAUAGACUUUG